UACGUAGGUGGCAAGCGUUGUCCGGAUUCAUUGGGCGUAAAGAGCUCGUAGGCGGCCACUCAAGUCGAAUGUGAAACCUCGAGGCUUAACCUCGAGCCUGCAUUCGAUACUGGGCGGCUAGAGUCUGGUAGGGGGAUCUGGAAUUCCUGGUGUAGCGGUGGAAUGCGCAGAUAUCAGGAGGAACACCAAUUGCGAAGGCAGCUCGCUGGGACGUUACUGACGCUGAGACGCGAAAGCGUGGGGAGCAAACAGG
rnacentral:rRNA from 1 species